rnacentral:rRNA from 1 species
AGCAGCCGCGGUAAUUCCAGCUCCAAUAGCGUAUAUUAAAGUUGUUGCAGUUAAAAAGCUCGUAGUUGAAUUUCGGGGUUCUACCGUUGGUCGGGCUUUGUCUGUACUGGCGUGUAGAAUUUCUACCUUCUGGGGAACCAUCAUGUUAUUAAUUUAACGUGGUGGGAAACCAGGACCUUUACCUUGAAAAAAUUAGAGUGUUCAAAGCAGGCUUAUGUCUGAAUACAUUAGCGUGAAAUAAUAAAAUAGGGCGGUGGUCCUGUUUUGUUGGUUUCUGAAUCACCGUAAUGAUUAAUAGGGAUAGUUGGGGGCAUUAGUAUUCAAUUGUCAGAGGUGAAAUUCUUGGAUUUAU